AUCUCGUAGCCACACCCACUUCCCCCUCCCACAAUCUCUGGCUAGCGUCAUGGCUGCCGCCACCGGUCUGGAGGAGGCAGUGGCGCCUAUGGGCGCCCUGUGUGGCCUCGUGCAAGACUUCGUCAUGGGUCAACAGGAGGGGCCCGCUGACCAGGUGGCUGCAGAUGUGAAGUCCGGUGGCUAUACAGUGUUACAAGUAGUAGAAGCCCUUGGGUCCUCUCUGGAAAAUGCUGAACCCCGAACUCGGGCUCGAGGAGCCCAGCUUCUGUCACAGGUGCUGCUCCAGUGUCACUCCUUGCUCUCGGAGAAGGAAGUGGUCCACCUGAUCCUGUUCUAUGAGAACCGGCUGAAGGACCACCAUCUUGUGGUCCCAUCUGUCUUACAGGGCCUGAGGGCACUGAGCAUGUCUGUGGCCCUGCCUCCGGGUCUGGCUGUCUCUGUGCUUAAAGCCAUCUUCCAGGAGGUACAUGUACAGUCCCUGCUACAGGUGGACCGCCAUACUGUCUUCAGCAUCAUCACUAACUUCAUGCGAUCACGAGAAGAAGAGCUGAAGGGUCUGGGAGCUGACUUCACAUUUGGCUUCAUCCAGGUGAUGGAUGGGGAGAAGGAUCCCCGUAAUCUCCUGCUGGCUUUCCGCAUCGUCCAUGACCUCAUCUCCAAGGACUACAGUCUGGGACCUUUCGUGGAAGAGUUAUUUGAAGUGACAUCUUGUUAUUUCCCUAUUGAUUUUACCCCUCCGCCUAACGAUCCUUAUGGCAUCCAGAGAGAGGAUCUCAUCCUGAGUCUCCGUGCUGUGCUGGCGUCUACACCGCGCUUUGCCGAGUUCUUACUGCCUCUGCUAAUUGAGAAAGUGGAUUCGGAGAUUUUAAGUGCCAAGCUGGAUUCUCUGCAAACUCUGAAUGCUUGCUGUGCUGUGUAUGGACAGAAGGAGCUGAAGGACUUCCUGCCCAGCCUUUGGGCUUCCAUCCGUAGAGAGGUUUUCCAGACUGCUAGUGAGCGAGUAGAGGCAGAGGGCCUGGCAGCUCUCCACUCCCUGACUGCGUGUCUGUCCUGCUCUGUGCUGAGAGCUGAUGCUGAGGACCUCCUUGGUUCCUUCCUCAGCAACAUCCUUCAAGACUGCAGGCACCAUCUAUGUGAACCAGACAUGAAACUUGUAUGGCCUAGCGCUAAGCUGUUGCAGGCAGCUGCAGGUGCGUCUGCCCGGGCCUGUGAGCACCUCACCAGCAACGUGCUUCCCUUGCUGCUGGAACAGUUCCACAAGCACAGCCAGAGCAACCAGCGUCGGACAAUCCUUGAAAUGAUCCUGGGAUUCCUAAAGCUACAGCAGAAAUGGAGCUAUGAAGACAGAGAUGAAAGGCCUCUGAGUAGCUUCAAAGACCAGCUAUGCUCAUUGGUGUUCAUGGCUCUAACAGACCCCAGCACCCAGCUUCAGCUUGUUGGCAUCCGGACGCUCACAGUCUUGGGUGCCCAGCCAGGUCUCCUGUCUGCUGAGGACUUGGAGCUGGCAGUAGGUCACCUGUACCGACUGACCUUCCUGGAGGAAGAUUCCCAGAGUUGUAGGGUGGCCGCACUGGAGGCAUCAGGAACCCUGGCCACUCUGUAUCCUGGAGCCUUCAGCAGACACUUGCUCCCCAAGCUUGCUGAGGAGCUGCAUAAAGGGGAGUCAGAUGUGGCUAGAGCAGAUGGUCCCACCAAAUGUUCCCGGCAUUUCCGCUGUCUGCAAGCUUUGUCAGCUGUUUCAACACAUCCCAGCAUUGUCAAGGAGACACUGCCUCUGCUACUGCAGCAUCUCUGUCAAGCAAACAAAGGGAAUAUGGUUACAGAGUCCAGUGAAGUUGUUGCUGUCUGUCAGAGUCUCCAGCAGGUGGCAGAAAAAUGCCAGCAGGACCCUGAGAGCUACUGGUAUUUCCACAAGACAGCUGUACCCUGCCUGUUUGCAUUGGCUGUGCAGGCUUCAAUGCCAGAGAAGGAAUCCUCAGUUCUGAGAAAAGUACUGUUGGAGGAUGAGGUCUUGGCUGCGUUGGCAUCUGUCAUUGGCACUGCCACUACCCAUCUGAGCCCUGAACUAGCUGCCCAGAGCGUCACAUGCAUCGUGCCCCUCUUCUUAGAUGGCAACACUUCCUUUCUACCUGAAAACAGCUUCCCUGACCAGUUCCAGCCGUUCCAGGAUGGCUCCUCUGGGCAGAGGCGGCUGGUUGCACUACUUACGGCUUUUGUCUGCUCCCUGCCACGAAAUGUGGAAAUCCCUCAGCUGAACCGACUCAUGCGGGAGCUUUUGAAGCAGAGCUGUGGCCACAGCUGUCCUUUCUCCUCCACUGCCGCCACUAAGUGCUUUGCAGGGCUCCUCAACAAGCAGCCUCCAGGGCAGCAGUUGGAGGAGUUCCUCCAGCUCGCUGUGGGCACAGUGGAGGCGGGCCUGGCCUCUGAAUCCUCCCGUGAUCAGGCUUUCACACUGCUGCUCUGGGUAACCAAGGCUCUAGUCCUCAGAUACCAUCCUCUCAGUGCCUGCCUGACCACCCGGCUCAUGGGCCUCCUCAGUGAUCCAGAACUUGGCUGUGCAGCAGCUGAUGGCUUCUCUCUGCUCAUGUCUGACUGCACUGAUGUGUUGACUCGUGCCGGCCAUGCUGAUGUUCGGAUCAUGUUCCGCCAGCGGUUCUUCACAGACAAUGUGCCUGCUUUGGUCCAAGGUUUCCAUGCCGCUCCCCAAGGAUUUCCCAGGGAACCUCAAACGUGCUGCUUUGGCAAGAUCAGCUAGCCAGCAAGCCAGGUGCUCUGUCUCCACUCGGCUGCACUGCAGCACUUAUAGUACCUAUGGGUCAAUGGGACUAAAACUCGUGUUUCUCAGAAAGUACUUUCCCACCUGACCUAUCUUCCCUAGCCCCAACCCUUCUCUUAGGCAGAUCUCUCACUGUCUAACUUAGACUGGCUUUGAAGCCCCUUGCCUCAGCCUCCUGAAUGCUGAAUAGGCUUCAGUCAUCACAUCUUACUAUAUGUGAAGCCAAACUAUCUGAAGGGUCUGUCUCACGUACUCAACAGGCUGCCCAAGCCUGUGCUUUUACCAGAGCUGCCCACACUUCUUUCCUUGCUGCUGGAAGCAUUAUCCUGCCCUGACUCUGUGGUCCAGCUUUCCACUCUGAGCUGUCUCCAACCCCUACUACUGGAAGCACCUCAAAUCAUGAGUCUUCAUGUUGACACUCUGGUUACAAAAUUCCUGAACCUCAGCUCCAGUUACUCAAUGGCUGUCCGGAUUGCUGCUCUGCAGUGUAUGCACGCUCUCACUCGCCUCCCCACUUCUGUGCUACUGCCAUACAAAUCUCAGGUCAUCCGAGCCUUAGCCAAGCCUCUGGACGACAAGAAGAGACUUGUGCGAAAGGAAGCAGUGUCAGCGAGGGGAGAAUGGUUCCUACUUGGGAGCCCGGGGAGCUGAGCCCUUGGUCCUGGCCUAAACCCUCCUGACAAUCUAACCUGCAAGUACUAACUAUUGAGCCAUCCCACAAGGCAAGACUACUGGUCUGCCUUCCCAUGGAUGCAGUACAAAUGCUGGGCCUCCUGCAUGGCUGUGCAAAACUCUUAAAGAGCCAUGACUUCUAAUGGAUUGUUGAAGAGACUGAGACUUGUAUUUGAGGAAAAGACCUUGGAUGUUGGGGCUCUCCCGUGUCUGUCAGGAAUAGGAAGCUGUGCUGCUGAAGGGUCAGUGCAGUGGAGUGUGACCUCGAGAACUGGGGUUGGUGUUACAUGAGUUCACCUGCCAGAGAAUAAAGCCUUCUUUGUAAUGGGCACACUCACGUGUACUGCCUUAUUCUACAGAUGCUAGAGAAGCACACACCGAGAGCUCCCAGUUCUUCAGUACAGCACCGAGGCACAGAGAAGCUACAUAUCUUUUUACAAAUCAAAUGCCUUUAUUUUCGCUCCCUCUGUAGCACGUGAGAAAUGGCAGUGACCUUGGCAAUAGGCUUACUGUCUUUGUCCCGUUGAGAAGCCAGAGUUUCAACAUACCUGAUGGAUCUUUUCCCAAAGUGAAAGAAAGAGAUGGUGUCUAGCCCCAGUGCUGUGACCUAGAGCUCGGCUGGAGCUAAAACUUAUUUGCCUGAGUAAAGGGACUUCAAUCCUU